AAUAAGUAUAAUUUUACACUAUUCACGUUCCCGUUUAUCUUAUUUAAAUUUUUUUAAUAAUUAUUAUUUUUAUUGCUAUUAGAUGAUAAAACAUGAAUAGUACUUUAUGUGUAACUAAAUAUUUUCAAAUUUUUCAUAAAAUUUUCUAAUAAGACGGACGGUCAAAUGUUGGGUACGGAUAUUCACGGCUGCAUUUAUU
rnacentral:pre_miRNA from 1 species